rnacentral:lncRNA from 1 species
CAUCGUUAUGAUCUCUUGUUUGAUACAUUGACAGAAUAGGGAUUAGAAUUAGCUGAUCAUGGAUUACAAGAAUACACAUUUUAUGUAAUUUUAAGAUUCGUGUAAACUUUUAAGAGAAUUGUACUGAAGCAGAACUCAACAUCCAUAUGGUUUACUAUGUCUGAUAAUUACAUAGUUGUAAAAUAUUUAUGAAAUAUAAAUAUAAUAUAAAAUGGAAAUUAUCAUGCAUAUUUACAUGUUGAGGUGUGUUUUUUCACAUGCAUAAUUGCAUGCUGCGGUGAACAUUUUCUCAUGGAUGUUGCAUGAUGAGGUGGCAUGCUUGCGUGUAGAAAGAAAACGGGUUCAUGGAGGCUAGCUAUUUAGAUAUAAAGCAUAAAAGAUGUGGCUUCUAGUUUCAUAUAGGAGGAAGCGUUUGCCAUCGUCGAC